rnacentral:rRNA from 1 species
CAGUAGCCGCGGUAAUACGAAGGGUGCAAGCGUUAAUCGGAAUUACUGGGCGUAAAGCGUGCGUAGGCGGUGAGUUAAGUCUGCUGUGAAAUCCCCGGGCUCAACCCGGGAAUGGCAGUGGAUACUGGCUCGCUAGAGUGUGUCAGAGGAUGGUGGAAUUCCCGGUGUAGCGGUGAAAUGCGUAGAGAUCGGGAGGAACAUCAGUGGCGAAGGCGGCCGUCUGGGACAACACUGACGCUGAGGCACGAAAGCGUGGGGAGCAAACAGGAUUAGAUACCCCAGUAGUCCCUGUCUCUUAUAC